rnacentral:rRNA from 1 species
AACGCGAAGAACCUUACCCAGGCUUGACAUGCACUUGAAUAGCGUAGAGAUAUGCUAGUCCGCAAGGACAGGUGCACAGGUGCUGCAUGGCUGUCGUCAGCUCGUGCCGUGAGGUGUUGGGUUAAGUCCCGCAACGAGCGCAACCCUUAUCAUUAGUUGCCAACACGUGAAGGUGGGAACUCUAAUGAGACUGCCCGGGUUAACCGGGAGGAAGGUGAGGAUGACGUCAAGUCCGCAUGGCCCUUACGUCUGGGGCUACACACGUGCUACAAUGGGCGGUACAGAAGGCAGCGAAGCCGCGAGGUGGAGCAAAUCCUAGAAAGCCGCUCCCAGUUCAGAUUGUAGUCUGCAACUCGACUACAUGAAGUUGGAAUUGCUAGUAAUGGCGUGUCAGCAACAACGCCGUGAAUACGUUCCCGGGCCUUGUACACACCGAUACUC